rnacentral:rRNA from 1 species
AUUGAACGCUGGCGGCAUGCUUUACACAUGCAAGUCGAACGGUAACGCGGGGCAACCUGGCGACGAGUGGCGAACGGGUGAGUAAUGCAUCGGAACGUGCCCGGUAGUGGGGGAUAACUGCUCGAAAGAGCAGCUAAUACCGCAUACGACCUGAGGGUGAAAGGGGGGGAUCGCAAGACCUCUCGCUAUUGGAGCGGCCGAUGUCGGAUUAGCUAGUUGGUGGGGUAAGGGCCCGCCAAGGCGACGAUCCGUAGCUGGUCUGAGAGGACGACCGGCCACACUGGGACGGCGACACGGACAAGACUCCUACGGGAGGCAGCAGGGGGGAAUUUUGGACAAUGGGCGCAAGUCGGAUCCAGCCAUGCCGCGUGCGGGAAGAAGGCCUUCGGGUUGUAAACCGCUUUUGUCAGAGAAGAAAUCUUCUGGGUUAAUACCUCGGGAGGAUGACGGUAUCUGAAGAAUAAGCACCGGCUAACUACGUGCCAGCAGCCGCGGUAA